UGGGGAAUAUUGCACAAUGGAGGGAACUCUGAUGCAGCAACGCCGCGUGCGGGAUGACGGCCUUCGGGUUGUAAACCGCUUUCAGCCAUGACGAAGCUUUUGUGACGGUAGUGGUAGAAGAAGCACCGGCUAACUACGUGCCAGCAGCCGCGGUGAUACGUAGGGUGCGAGCGUUGUCCGGAAUUAUUGGGCGUAAAGAGCUUGUAGGCGGUUUGUCGCGUCGAUAGUGUAAACACGCAGCUUAACUGUGUGCCUGCUGUCGAUACGGGCUGACUAGAGGAGGGGAGGGGAGAAUGGAAUUCCCGGUGGAGCGGUGGAAUGCGCAGAUAUCGGGAGGAACACCAGUGGCGAAGGCGGUUCUCUGGACCUUUCCUGACGCUGAGAAGCGAAAGCGUGGGUAGCAAACAGG
rnacentral:rRNA from 1 species